UACGUAGGGUGCGAGCGUUAAUCGGAAUUACUGGGCGUAAAGCGUGCGCAGGCGGUUAUGUAAGACAGAUGUGAAAUCCCAGGGCUCAACCUUGGAACUGCAUUUGUGACUGCAUAGCUAGAGUACGGUAGAGGGGGAUGGAAUUCCGCGUGUAGCAGUGAAAUGCGUAGAUACGCGGAGGAACACCGAUGGCGAAGGCAAUCCCCUGGACCUGUACUGACGCUCAUGCACGAAAGCGUGGGGAGCAAACAGG
rnacentral:rRNA from 1 species